CUGCUGCCUCCCGUAGGAGUCUGGGCCGUGUCUCAGUCCCAGUGUGGCCGGUCACCCUCUCAGGUCGGCUACUGAUCGUCGGCUUGGUGGGCCGUUACCCCGCCAACUACCUAAUCAGACGCGGGUCCAUCCCAUACCACCGGAGUUUUGACCCCUGUGCCAUGCGGCACUGUGGUCUUAUGCGGUAUUAGCACUCAUUUCUGAAUGUUAUCCCCCGGUAUGGGGCAGGUUACCCACGCGUUACUCACCCGUCCGCCA
rnacentral:rRNA from 1 species